CCCCGAGGCACCUCCUGGACCUUCGCCGCGGUCCUCUGAUCUCCGUCGGAGCCGCGCUGCUGGCCCUGCCCCUGCCCCGGACGCCCCGCACCCCCGGAGGCUGUGGAAGUCCUCGGUCGGCUCCCCCUCCCCACAAUGGGCGCGCUCCCCUGCGCCGGGAGAGCGCCCACUCCCGGCCGGGGUCUCCCUCUCUGCACGUGGCCGGGUCUGACCUCUUCAUCCCUUCCCAGGCUUUGCCCCCCACGAUCCCCUGGAGCCAAGAGGGCCCGAUAGCCCCCUCCUCCGCCACGCCCGGGACCUGGUCAACCAGAGUGCACCCCUCCCCCAUCUCGCGAUUGGCGCAGAGAGGAGCUAGGCCAGGGCUUCUCCCGCGAAGCCCACUGUGGGGCGGCGGGAGGGCGCGCGGGGGAGGCGACAGGGAGGAGGUACCAGGACCACAGCGAGCGGCUCGGCGAGUGCGGACAGCGGAGGAGGAGCCAGAGGCCGAUCCCACCCGUCGCCCUGGGCACGCCCUCGGACUGGGAUCCUGCACGUGCCCAGUGCCACUUACGGAGGGGUGUGGGGGCUCCCACCCCCGCCCUCCACACGCCCCCUCCUCUCACCACCGCAGCUGCCCGGGUCGCGAAUAGGAGACGCGGAUGAACCUGCAGCUGCGCCCGCCCUCAGCCCCGCCCUCAGCCCCGCCCCGGGCGCCAGGUGCUGGGAAUGCAGACCAGAACCACAGUGAGCAGCCACCUCCCGCCCACGGGGAAGGCUACACAGGCAGGCAAAGAGCGGUGUGGCUGAGGCUGGGAGAGCUUGGGACCCCCGUGCACCGCUGGUGGCGAUGGAGGGUGCGGUGGCAGCCCCGGACCAGCCUGCGACCCCCGCGCCCCCAUUCCUUGCUAUACAUUCAAAUGUGUUCGAAUAAAAACACGCCAGGAGCAGGUGCCACCAGCGGCCGAGAAGUGGCCACGCGGCGGAUGCCCUCGGAGAAGGGAGAGGCGGGGAGAGAGGGCCACGCGGGGAGUGACACACCCGUAGCAACGUGGAGGAACCCAGGACACCGUGCCCAGUGAAGGAAGCCGGCCGUGUGGUCCUGAUCCUAUCCAUACAAGAUCUCCAGCGCGAGGCCGGCCCCGAGGCAGAACGCACACUAACGGGGGCUGGAGAAGACAGGGCCUCCUGUGGUCAGGCUGGGCUUCUGGGGGCUGGGAGCGUCCUCGAGUUAGGGUGAUGGCGUGUAACUGUGUGAACAUGGUAAACACACACACACACAAAAACCCCCCAAACCCACCUUCAAGGAGUGAAACUCGUGGCAUGUCAGCUAUAUCUCAAUCUUUAUUGAUUUUCAUUUUAUUUGAAAGAGACAGAGAGCUUCCACCUGCUGGUUCACUCCCCAGAUGCCAGCCGACAGCCGGGGCUGGCCCAGGCCGAGGCCGGGAGCCGGGAACUCCAUUUGGAUCUCCUGGGUGAGUGGCAGGGCCCCAGGUCCUUGAGCCAUCGCCUGCAGGGUGCGGUUAGCAAAAGCCACACCCCCACCCGACAGCUCAAUUAGGCGAGGAGGCGGGGAGGGCGCUGGGACUGAGCAAGAGAGCAGGCCCAGGGGUGGGGGGUGGGGGGCUCUGGGUGCGAGGCUGCCCACCAGGAGCGGCAGGAAGCUGUGCUAUUGAGGGGAGGGGAGACUGUGCUGGCGGCCGAAGAUGGAGAGAGAAAAGACGGGCGCGGGCAUCCGGGCGUGGCAGCUCAGACACUGCUCGGGAUGGACGCCUGCUUCUUCUGUCAGAGGGUCUGGGUUGCAGCCCUGCUUCUGCUUCCCGUUUCCUGGUAAUGCGCACUCUGGGGAGCAGCAGGUGGUGGCUCAAGUCCCUGGGCCCCUGCCGCCCACACGGGAGAUCUGGAUGGCGUUCCUGGCUCCUGGUUUCAGCCUGGCCCAGCCCUGGCUGUGGCAGGCAUAGGGGAGGGAGACAGUCGAUAGGAGAUUGUGUGUGUGUGUGUGUGUGUGUGUGUGUGUC